rnacentral:rRNA from 1 species
UACGUAGGGUGCAAGCGUUGUCCGGAAUUAUUGGGCGUAAAGAGUUCGUAGGCGGUCUGUCGCGUCGGCUGUGAAAACCCGGAGCUCAACUCCGGGCCUGCAGUCGAUACGGGCAGACUGGAGUUCGGCAGGGGAGACUGGAAUUCCUGGUGUAGCGGUGAAAUGCGCAGAUAUCAGGAGGAACACCGGUGGAGAAGGCGGGUCUCUGGGCCGAUACUGACGCUGAGGAGCGAAAGCGUGGGGAGCGAACAGG